rnacentral:lncRNA from 14 species
AUUUCCAUUUGCAAAUUCAUGGGGGGGGUCCAGCGCCCGUUGGGAGGGGUCCACGGGGGUCCCCCCCAUUUGGUGUCCCCCCCGGGCCAUGUGCCCCCCAGGCCUCGCUCAAUGGGAUGCAGCUCGGCGACAAGAAGCUGCUGGUGCAGAGGGCGAGCGUGGGGGCCAAGAACGCCACGCUGAGCACCAUCAACCAGACGCCGGUGACGCUGCAGGUGCCGGGGCUGAUGAGCUCGCAGGUGCAGAUGGGCGGCCACCCCACCGAGGUGCUGUGCCUGCUCAACAUGGUGCUGCCCGAGGAGCUGCUGGACGACGAGGAGUACGAGGAGAUCGUCGAGGACGUUGGCGGGCGGAAUGCGGCACGGUCAAAUCCAUCGAGAUCCCGCCCGUGAUCUUAAUCGGAGGGAAAAUCCCAAAACGGGGUCACCUGUGUCGGUGUGCCCAGGUGUGCUGGGAAGGGAUGGAAGAGGAAGGCGGUGAAAUCCCACCCGCGCGUAGGCGUGGAGUACCUGGGUGUGGAAAAGUGAGAGAUGAGAGAUACGGGGUCACCUGUGUGCCCAGGUGUGCUGGGAAUGGGAUGGGAAUGGGUUAAAUCCAUCGAGAUCCCACGUCCCGUGGACGGCGUCGAGGUGCCCGGCUGUGGAAAGGUGAGAGAUGAGAGAUAUCAGCUCACCUGUGUGCCCAGGUGUGCUGGGAAUGGGAUGGGAACAGGCAGGUGGGGCAGUCAUCCAUCGAGAUCCGCGGGUACUGUGGGGGGGGGUGGGGGAAAGUAGGUAUGGAAGGGGAAGUUGGGGGGCGGGUGCCGGCUGUGGAAAGGUGAGAAUGGAAGGGGUCACCUGUGUGCCCAGGUGUGCUGGGAAUGGGGCAGGGGAGGGGGCAGGUACGGCACCGUCAGAUCCAUUGAGAUCCCGCGGCCCGUGGAUGGAGUGGAAGUACCUGGGUGUGGAAAGAUUUUCGUGGAGUUCACGUCGGUGUUCGACUGCCAGAAGGCCAUGCAGGGCCUCACGGGCCGCAAGUUCGCCAACCGCGUCGUGGUCACCAAGUUCUGCGACCCCGACUCGUACCACCGCCGCGACUUCUGGUAGCCCCGCCCCCGGCCCCGCCCCCCGGCCGCGGCCCCGCCCCCCGGCCGCGGCCCCGCCCCCUUUCCCCCCCAUUUCCCGCGGUUUCCCCCCCCCCCAAAAACCCCGCCCCCCUCUCUCCCCUCCCCCACCCCGCGCUGGUUUCUCGUUGUAGCUUCGGCCGCCCCUCCCCCACCCAUCGCCCCUCCCCCCCCCGCACCCAUCGCCCCUCCCCCCACCCCCCACCCCCCGCGGCGUUUUUUGGUAUUGGCGGGAAAAGGGGGGAGGGGCGGCGGCAAAAGGGGGGGAGGGGAACCCCCCCGAGCGCCCCUCCCCAACCCCAUCCCCCCUUCCCCCCCGACGGGAUUAAACGAUUUUUCCAGUUUUUGGUGGUUUUGGUGUUUUUGG